CCAAACUUUCGAUUAGUGAUAGUAAUAAGAAAAUGGAAAAUGGCCAUGUUUGUGAACCAGUUCUUCUAGAAUUAAACAAAAAAAGUGAGCAUUGCGAUAAAGGUGACAAUCAUUUGUGGUUAAGCUAUCCGGAUGACAGUGGUAUAAAGUGUUCCAAAAUAAUUGCUGAACCGUUUCCCUUGCGAAUAGGAAAUUUGAAUUUAGAACUAAUGCAAAUUUCAUUUGGGAAGGAUCGGUGCCGGAAUAUGCAGCGAAAAUCAUUAAAUGUUAAUAGAAAAGUGGUUAAGUUAAUCGUGAAAGAUGUCAACGCAGGCGUAAAUGCAGUAUGUUUUGUUACAUGAUCUACAGCUAUUUCAUCACCAAAGCCCCUGAUAAUAGAUCAAAGCAGAUGGAUCGGGCAUACAGAGUCGCCGUUUAAUUUAAAAUAUCUUCGUGAUCGGCAAACGCAUCAAACAGCAUAUUUUUUUUCAACAGCACGCACCAUCGGUGGAGCAAGCAGCUAACGUUUUGUUCGCCCAGCACGCACCAUCAAGUAUUGAAAUAUUUUCAAAUAGCUUUGUGAAUAAAAAACUGCACACUUA